CACAAAAAUGUGUUGUUUAUGUAUUCAAUUAACCAUGCUUUAUUCUAUGUAGAUGUUCUAUUCAGAAGAUUUUUCAAUAGUUUUGCAUUCAUGAAUUAUGUAUAAGUCCUAUGUACAUGUAGCAUCUCAAUUAACCGUCCUACGGCCAAAACCCGAAAAACAAACCAUUUUCUGCAUAAAAGGGUCCCAAAAUUUUUCGCCUCGCUUCGCUCGGCGGUAAAUGCUUGCACAUCGUUUCAUUCUAGCUACGCCCCUG
rnacentral:lncRNA from 1 species